rnacentral:rRNA from 1 species
UGGGGAAUAUUGGACAAUGGGGGCAACCCUGAUCCAGCCAUGCCGCGUGUGUGAAGAAGGCCUUUUGGUUGUAAAGCACUUUAAGCAGUGAAGAAGACUCCAUGGUUUAUACCCAUGGACGAUGACAUUAGCUGCAGAAUAAGCACCGGCUAACUCUGUGCCAGCAGCCGCGGUAAUACAGAGGGUGCAAGCGUUAAUCGGAAUUACUGGGCGUAAAGCGAGCGUAGGUGGCUUGAUAAUUCAGAUGUGAAAGCCCCGGGCUUAACCUGGGAACGGCAUCUGAUACUGUUAGGCUAGAGUAGGUGAGAGGAAGGUAGAAUUCCAGGUGUAGCGGUGAAAUGCGUAGAGAUCUGGAGGAAUACCGAUGGCGAAGGCAGCCUUCUGGCAUCAUACUGACACUGAGGUUCGAAAGCGUGGGUAGCAAACA